GUGUUCGCGAAGAACCUACUCCUCCUCCCAGGGUUUUUCGCGGGGAACAGCGGCUCUCCUCCUCCCAUGCCGCUGUUCGGACAGUUUGAAAAAGCCUGCCGCACCUCCUCCCGCGGCAGGCUUUUUCA
rnacentral:sRNA from 1 species